rnacentral:rRNA from 1 species
GACAGAGGGUGCAAACGUUGUUCGGAAUUACUGGGCGUAAAGCGCAUGUAGGCGGCCUAGCAGGUCGGAUGUGAAAUCCCUCGGCUCAACCAAGGAAGUGCAUUCGAAACCGCAAGGCUCGAGUCCUGGAGAGGAUGGUGGAAUUCUCGGUGUAGAGGUGAAAUUCGUAGAUAUCGAGAGGAACACCGGCGGCGAAGGCGGCCAUCUGGACGAGGACUGACGCUGAGAUGCGAAAGCGUGGGGAGCAAACAGG